UACAGAGGUCUCAAGCGUUGUUCGGAUUUAUUGGGCGUAAAGAGCGUGUAGGCGGCCAUACAGGUCCGCUGUGAAAACUCGAGGCUCAACCUCGAGACGUCGGUGGAAACCGUUUGGCUAGAGUCCGGAAGAGGAGAGUGGAAUUCCCGGUGUAGCGGUGAAAUGCGCAGAUAUCGGGAAGAACACCCGUGGCGAAGGCGGCUCUCUGGGACGGUACUGACGCUGAGACGCGAAAGCGUGGGGAGCGAACGAGGA
rnacentral:rRNA from 1 species